rnacentral:precursor_RNA from 13 species
CCUCGUCGAGAGACUGGCCGUCCUUUGGGGUGAGGUAGUAGGUUGUAUAGUUUGGGGCUCCGCCCUGCUGUGGCUAACUAUACAAUCUACUGUCUUUCCUGAAGUGGCCGUGAUAUCUGCGGUGGAUA